CUGGGUGACAGAGUGAGACUCCGUCUCAAAACAAAACAACAACAAAAACCAUAACAAUAUUUGUAAAGCACUUCGCAUAAUUCCUGAGCAAGCACUCAAUAAAUAUUAGCUAUCAUUAUUUCUCUUUAUUCAAGAAGUAUUUUUUGAGCAGCUAUUAUAUGCCAGAUACUGUGUUAGGGGCUAGAGAGUCAUUGAUGAGUAAAAUAGGCAAGGUGUCUGCCUUCUUGGAGUGGGGAGAUAGACAUUAAAUGAAUUCAUUUAAUUCAACAAUUAACAGCUAUUAGGAUCAGGCUUCUCUAACUCCUUGGGGGUACAUCAGUGAAUAAAACAAAGAUCCCUACUCUUGUGGAACUUAAUUUUUAGAAAUUAGCCCAAAUGCUUUCUAAAUAAAUGUAUUACUAGAAAUGGUGGUAAGUGCUAAUCAUGAAAAGCCUAGGGUGGAAUGAGGGCUUCUAAAAGGUUCCUAAUUCAGCCUGGCUGCUGGGGAAAGUCCUUUAUGUGGAUGUGACAUUUUAAGUUUGAGAUCUAGAUAAAAAGUAGGCUGAACUGAGACGAAGAGUGGGAGGUGGAGGCAGAGAACAUAUGUAUAAUGCUAGUAGCUCAUAUUUAAUUCCAUGUUCCAUGCCUUUUCACAAACGUUCUAGAGGACAGGACUGCCAAAGAUGAGAGGAGAUUCCUGCAUCCGAAGUUUGCAAUCAGGCCGGGUGCAGUGGCUCAUGCCUGUAAUCCCAGCACUUUGGGAGGCGGAGGUGGAAGGAUUGCUUGAGCCCAGGAGUUCAAGACCAGCCUGGGCAAUAUAGGGAGAUCCUGCCUCUCUCUCUCUCCCCCAACCCUGCCUCUCUUUUAAAGACAUUCCCAAUCAGAUUGAAUUUAGUUCUCAGCUCCAGGAUGCAUGGCAGCAGCUGCCUAGUUUUUGCCUUCUCAGGAAUCACUGACAGUUGGCAGUUGCCACCUCAGCUUCCCUUGGUCCCCAUUACCUGGAACAAUCAGUCCCAACUACGCUAGGAAUGACCUCUCUGUAGCUAGGUGUGGUGGUGUGCGCCUGUAAUCCCAGCUACUUGGGAGGCUGAGGCACGAAGAAUUGCUUGAACCUAAGAGGCAGAGGUUGCAGUGAGCUGAGAUCAUGCCACUGCAUUCCAGCCUGGGUGACAGAGCGAGACUCCGUCUCAAAAAAAAAAAAAAAAAAAAAAGGAAUCACCUCUCUGGGAAUUGACUUCAGCUUCUUUUACUUGCCUUAGUGAGUGUCACCCUAGGGCCCCCAGAAAUAUGUCAGCAUACAUUUGCUGCUGGAUUUAAAUAAUCUAGGGUGGGCUGAAUAAUCAAUCUUUGAGAGUUGAACUAGCUUCUGAGCUACAAACAUGCACAUAAUCCUUUAGCCCACUUUUCCUUUGCUACUGAAUUUUCUCUAAUUUAAGUUUUAAAGCUCUUCUUAGGUCAUUUCCACCAGCAAGCUUUCAAGCCCUGGUUCAUAUUCUAGCUUAGAAAUAGUUCACAUAGUUCUGUGUAGACAUAAUAUUUACGGGAACCAGAGAUGGGUGGAUUCUGAUAGUGGCUUGUGGAAUAGUCUCCAGUGCAGUCAAAAUAACAAAGAAUUUGAGAAGCAAAUGCUUUGAGAGUCUAGUUUCCCAUAAACUUCUCAAAUAUACAGGCUUAAAUCCUGUGUAAGGAUCAGCAGAAUCCAGGAAAGUAGGGCCCUGUUUGAGAAAGCCUUGGUUUGUUCACUGUUUGCUGUUUUACAGCACAAAUUCUGAACUCUGUUUAUUGUCAACAGCUCUCUAACAAAGGACACAAUGGAAUGUGCCUGUUUUCAAAUUCCUGUAAAAAAGGGCCCUGGAAGACCUCCAAGCCUGGUGUCGGUGAUUUACUUCACUAUUUUUCAGUGAUUUCACUUAAGACUCUAAGCUUUUGAGAGAGUUCUUACCAAUCAUCAACAUUAGUGUGGAGCUACGUAUAAGAAGGAUCUAGAUGGGCUGUAAUUGAGUGAGAAUAAAAUACAACUAUCCAUAUCCUGUUGGAAGUGUAGGGACAGCUAGGGAGGAAAGUGAGCUGGGAGUAGCUGGGAACUUUUUACAUUUAGUAGCACUGAUCCAAAGAUCUGGAGGGAGGAGGAGAUUGCUGUUGGUAAGUCAGGCAGUAGGGUUUGAGGUGCACCUUGCAAAGACGGCUGGUUUCAAAGGUGUGGGGGCAUUGGCACUUAUGUUUCUCAGUACAUAACCUUACAUUGGGAAGCAUCUCCUCUGCCCUGAAUACCCUGCUCCUUGUUCUUCCAUGGCUAGUUCCUUGCUAUCAUUUGCUUCUCAUGGAAAUUGUCUCCUUCUUCUACCCAGUCCAAAGUAGCAACACACUUCUUCACAACAUAUUCUUCCAUUUUAAUUACCUGCCCAAGGCUGGGCAUGUUGGCUCACACCUGUAAUCCCAGCACUUUGGGAGGCCAAGGUGGGCAGAUCACUUGAGGUCAGGAGUUCGAGACUAGCCUGGCCAACAUGGUGAAACCCUGUCUCUGCUAAAAAUACCAGAAUUAGCUGGGUUUGGUGGUGCACACCUGUUGACCCAGCUACUCGGGAGGCUGAGGCACGAGAAUCACUUGAACUGGUGAGGCAGAGGUUGUAGUAAGCUAAUAUCGUGCCACUGCACUCCAGCAUGGGCGACAGAGCAAGACUUUGUCUCAAAAAACAAAAAACAAACAAAAAAAUUACCUGCCCAGCACUUACUUACUUUUAUCUGACAUUUUUGUUUUCUUAUUAAUUCAUUACUGGACUAUAAGCUUCAUGUUGGUAGGAAGCUUGCCUGUUUACUGUGGAGUCUAGUGACUGGUACAUAGUAGGUGCUCAAUAAAAGUGAUGAAUGAGUAGCAAGGAAUAGGAUAAUUGACUUUGUACAAUUUGAGUUAAGAAGGGAUUAACUUUGCAGCGUCCAUACAAAGUAACUGUAGGUAAUUGGUUUUUUUCUGACCCUUAUACAAGGUAAUAAUAUUUUGAGGUAUGUGAAAGUCAUUUCUUUCCUGGAAAGAAUUCUGAAACCAAUGGAAAAAUAGAAAGCAGGCUAGAGAUAUCUGAUAAGAAUACGACUGAAUUAAUCUCAAACUAGAUGUGUGAAAUAAAUGCCUCAGGGCUGCUCUUAUCUAAAUGUAAAUCUAAAACAUCUUAAUCUGAAAUUCCUCAGCUUUCUGCAUUAUUCUCUGGUCAUUUUACCAUAUGGGCCAGAAAUGGGUAAGAAGUAUAGAAAUUAUGACCUGGGGCUUGGAGCUGUUGUUUGGUGAAACCGUUGAUUUCGUGGGCCAAUGAGUAGAGUGCUAGUUGAAGAACUUUUUUUUUUUUUCUUCCAUUUCCCCAGCCUAUUUCAUAACCUCUUACUUCCUUCUUUUCCAAAUUCUAAGCUCAGACAGACAUCAGCUGGAUGAAGCCCCAGGUUCAAACAAACUUGCCUUGGAUAUCAAAGUACUAGUAGCAAAGGAACUCCCAAUUCCUCACCUGCUGUGAAGUUUCCCAUUCACUGCAAGCAAAGUCCAGGUGAAAGCAAAGAUUCUUCACCCGCAGAAACCCUCUGGGCAGGCCAGGCACGGUGGCUCACGCCCAGAAUCCCAAUACUUUGGGAGGCCAAAGUGGGAGGAUUGCUUGAGCCCAGGAGUUCGAGACCAGCCUGGACAAUAUAGUGAGACCCCAUCUCUACAAAUAAUAAAAAAAAGUAGCCGGGCUUGGUGGCCCAUGCCUGUGGUCCCAGCUACUUGGGAGGCUGAGGCAAGAUGAUCGCCUGAGCCCAGGAGGUCGAGGCUGCAGUGAGCGACCGCAUCCUAGCCUGGGUGACAGAGUGAGACCCUGUCUCAAAAAAAUAAAUAAACAAAAAUAAAAAUAUACGUUUAUUCUACAAGGAUUUGAGUGCCUUGGUGUCAGGAAGCAUGGUACUGAGGAUAGAUAACUGCUAAAUAAGACAGAUAAGGUCCCUGCUCUUGUGGAGCUUACGGACUAGUUGACGAUGGCAAUGAAACAGUACAUAAAUGGACAGGGUAAUGUAGUGAUAAGUGCUAGAUAGAAAAGAAAACCAGGUAACAUGACAGAAAGUGACUGAAGGGCAAAGGAGUUUGCAACAAUGGAUGGGGAAGACAGGAGGGGCUUCCUGGAGAAGGUGACAUUUGAGCAGAUGUUGGUCAGGAGGAAGAGUCAACUUGUCAAGGUCUGUGAGGAAGAGGGAAGAGUGGGUACAGAGGCCCAGAGGCAGAAGCAGCUUGGCAUAUUUGAGGGAGAGAAAGGCCAAUGUAGCUGGAGUGGAGUGCAGGAAAGUGGUUCAAGGUAAGGUUGGAAGGCAAGGCAGAGGCUGAAGCCUGUGGACUGGGAAUCCUCAUAAGAAGUGUAGAUUUUUAUCUAAGUGUCAUUCUGUAAACUGACCUCUAAACAGGUUUGGGGGGAUAACAGUUCUGUUUGGUGUUCUGAUUUAAUU
rnacentral:lncRNA from 1 species